rnacentral:rRNA from 1 species
UACGUAGGUGGCAAGCGUUAUCCGGAAUUAUUGGGCGUAAAGCGCGCGCAGGCGGUCCUUUAAGUCUGAUGUGAAAGCCCACGGCUCAACCGUGGAGGGUCAUUGGAAACUGGGGGACUUGAGUGCAGAAGAGGAGAGCGGAAUUCCACGUGUAGCGGUGAAAUGCGUAGAGAUGUGGAGGAACACCAGUGGCGAAGGCGGCUCACUGGCCCGAUACUGACGCUGAGGCACGAAAGCGUGGGGAGCAAACAGG